CCAAGCGGCCUUAUCCGCACGCGCGACUCCCCUCCCGAGCUCCUCUCCCCUCCUUGAGCGCUCCCGCCGCCCUGCGCCUCCGCCCCCACCAGCAACGCCGCCCUGUGCGGCCCUCCCCUCACCGGCUACGGCCGGCCUUCCCCCUCCUGCGGCACUGCCCCUGCGAGCCACCAAGGAUGCGCGGGGUCCCCAAGGCGGGUGCCCUUCACGCGCGCGUCUGCAGGGCCGGCCCCCUCCAGGGGCGGCGCGCAAGCUCUGGCCACCACCUGCCCUCCGGUGUCCACCUGCUUCAUCCCGAGCGCCAUCCCCUCUUGCUGCUCCUCCAUUCCGGUGUUCUCUCAUGCAUCCACUUGAGAUCCACGAGAAGGAUGCGAGGUGGCGCGCCACGGACGCCUUGAUGUGCUUGGCCUGGGAUGGCGACGGGAACGGGCAGCGGAAGUACCUGCAUGGCGUGGACGCCAAGGUCGCCGGUGAUGACACGAUGCUGCUCGGGCUCCCCGCCCAAGGGCUGCCCGCCGCCGUCGACCGGGCUAGCGUUUUCCCUGUCUUGCUCUCGCGCGGCAUACCCGCCCGCUCCGCCUCCCGCCCCCUCUCCCUACCUCCGCCGCGUCUUCCACCACGACCGUGAUGCUGGUCGCCGCCGCCCGCAUCAACGCCGUGCACCUUCCGCGGCGGAUGGGAGAAGAACAGAGGAAGGCGAAGGGGUCCACAGUUCCUCCCCUCUUUUAACCCGCCCCACGUGUCGCUUGCAAGCCGAUCCCACGAGUUAGGAGGCCACGUCAGCGUCCAGCAUGGCGAAACCACUAUGCAAAACCACUAGAGGGGGUUAAGUGCACGGGAUUUGAUACAACAGGGUGUUAAAUAUCUAGUUUUAUUGUUUGUGGUGGGGGGGGGGGGGGGGGGGUUAAGUGCUCCGACCCCAAUAGUUAGGAGGCGCAUCAUAAGCUAGGCCUUGAAAAAGGCUGCUGCUGUGUUGUAUUAUCUAGUGCAAAAUAGUCCGAUCCUAAAUUAGAUCUUGUUGGAACCGUUGAUGUACUGCAAUAAUCAUGUAUUGCACUGUUGGUAUGCUGAAACUAGACUAGGUUCUUCUUGUUUUUUAAGACAUGAAACACAGGCUGUAUGCUCUUGGAUUUGUUAACAUGAAGCACCCGUUGCUGUUGGUAAUAUUCAGUGCAUUUGUUGCUA